GUAACGCCCUGAGUGUUGCGGAUGUUUCGCAGAAGUUGACCGAACUUGAUUAUUUAGAGGAAGUAAAAGUCGUAACAAGGUUUCCGUAGGUGAACCUGCGGAAGGAUCANUAAAGUUCUCCUUUCAAGUUAUAAACAAAAACACAAUAUAUAAAAUACUUAUAUUGUAAAAUUAUGGCAAAUGCCAAAAAGAAACAAAAUAACAAUAAUAAAAAUGUUUAUUAUUGUAUCGCCUCCUAGGCAAAAAAGUAUAGUAUAAAGUGUUUGUGUGUGUUACACAUUACACAAAAAUUGACUUAUUUAUAUAAAAUUUGUAAAAACUGAAAUUGUGUGGACGUUAUACAAAAUUAAUUUGUAUAGAAAAUGUCUAAAAAUUUGAAAUACAUAAAAUUAUAGUUGUACUUGUAUAAAAUUGAAAAGUAAUUUUUUAUAUAAGUCAAUCAUUGUUCGUUUUUUAAGAACUUGAGACAUUCGCAACAAAAAUUUUAUGUUUUAGUUAUAAAAGAGAAGAAUAAUAAGCAAAAAUUAUUGAAGGAAUUGAUAUAUGCCAAUUUGAAACUUUUUGGUGUAUUUUUGAUUUCUUUC
rnacentral:rRNA from 1 species